GACCGCGUAGCUCAGUUGGCAGAGCAUUGGGCUAGUAUUCCAAAGGUCGUAGGUUCGAUUCCCACCGUGGACA